rnacentral:misc_RNA from 1 species
GAUGAAGAACGUAGCGAAAUGCGAUAAGUAAUGCGAAUUGCAGAAUUCAGUGAAUCAUCGAAUCUUUGAACGCACAUUGCGCCCGCCAGUAUUCUGGCGGGCAUGCCUGUCUGAGCGUCGUUUCGACCCUCGCGCCCGGCUUCUGUCGGGGGCGGUGUUGGGGAUCGGCCACACCCUUCAGUGGGAGGCCGGCCCCUAAAUUCAGUGGCGACCACGCUGUAGCCUUCCCUGCGUAGUACUAAAACCACCUCGCAGGCGGAGAGCGGUGCGGCCCGCCGUAAAACCCCCCAACUUUUACAAGGUCGACCUCAGAUCAGGUAGGAAUACCCGCUGAACUUAAGCAUAUCAAUAAGCGGAGGA